CAUGUUUACCUUAAGCCAAUGCAACCAAGUCCCAAGUGUCUUUCUUAUAUAGAGCAGUAUCCAUAGUCUAUUGCCAAAGAGGAUCCAAAAUAGCUUCUUUGUAGGAAAAUGGUUUAGAUAACUUGUGAAUGAAGAUUAAAAAGCAACAAAAAGAGUCAUAAUAACAAGAAUAAGCAAAAUCAGGUAACUGAGUGGAUUUACGAAUACGUUGAGGAUAUUGAGGAAGAGAUGGAGCAAGAACUGAAUCAACAAUCUCGAGUGGUACUUAGGAAGCCAUAGAAGGAGGA
rnacentral:lncRNA from 1 species